AUUGAACGCUGGCGGCAUGCCUUACACAUGCAAGUCGAACGGCAGCAUGGAGAGCUUGCUCUCUGAUGGCGAGUGGCGAACGGGUGAGUAAUGCAUCGGAACGUACCGUGUAAUGGGGGAUAACGUAGCGAAAGUUACGCUAAUACCGCAUACGACCUGAGGGUGAAAGCAGGGGAUCGCAAGACCUUGCGUUAUACGAGCGGCCGAUGUCAGAUUAGCUAGUUGGUGAGGUAAAGGCUCACCAAGGCGACGAUCUGUAGCGGGUCUGAGAGGAUGAUCCGCCACACUGGGACUGAGAUACGGCCCAGACGCCUACGGGAGGCAGCAGUGGGGAAUUUUGGACAAUGGGGGCAACCCUGAUCCAGCCAUGCCGCGUGAGUGAAGAAGGCCUUCGGGUUGUAAAGCUCUUUCGGCCGGGAAGAAAUCGCACAGGCUAAUACUCUGUGUGGAUGACGGUACCGGCAUAAGAAGCACCGGCUAACUACGUGCCAGCAGCCGCAGUAA
rnacentral:rRNA from 1 species